rnacentral:rRNA from 1 species
GUCUUAUUGAAUAAUAAUUUUAAGUCAAUUCUGCCCAAUGAUUUUAAAUAAUUAAAUGGCUGCGGUAUAAUUGACUGUACAAAGGUAGCAUAAUCAAUUGUUUUUUAAUUAAAAACUGGAAUGAAAGAGUUAAUGAGAUAUACACUGUCUCAUAUAUAUUAAAUUAAUUUAAAUUUUUAGUUAAAAUGCUAAAAUUAAUUUAUGGGACGAUAAGACCCUAUAGAAUUUUAUAUUAAUAUUUUAAUUAUAAUUUUAUUAUUGAAUAUUAAUAUUUUGUUGGGAGGAUAGGUAAAUUUAUUAAACUUUAUUUUAAAUAUUAACUUUAAUUAAAGAAUAUAUUUUGAUCUUUUAGUAAAAAUGAAAAGAGUAAAUUACCUUAGGGAUAACAGCGUAAUAUCUUUUUAAAGAUCUUAUUGAAAAAGAUGAUUGCGACCUCGAUGUUGAAUUAAGAUAAAUUUUAAAUGAAGAAAUUUAAUAAUUAAGUCUGUUCGACUUUUAAAAUCUU